GGAGGCCCCAUAGCUCAGUGGUAGAGCACCUGCUUGGCAUGCAGGAGGUCCCAGAUUCGAUCCCUGGCAUCUCCA